AUACGUAGGUGGUAAGCGUUGUCCGGAUUUACUGGGUGUAAAGGGCGUGUAGGCGGAGAUGCAAGUCAGGAGUGAAAUCUAGGGGCUCAACCCCUAAACUGCUUUUGAAACUGUAUCCCUUGAGUAUCGGAGAGGCAGGCGGAAUUUCUAGUGUAGCGGGGAAAUGCGCAGAUAUCAGGAGGAACACCGGUGGCGAAGGCGGGUCUCUGGGCAGUAACUGACGCUGAGGAGCGAAAGCAUGGGUAGCGAACAGGAUUAGAUACCCUGGCAGUCCAUGCCGUAAACGGUGGGCGCUAGGUGUGGGGGGACUGACCCCCUCCGUGCCGCAGUUAACACAAUAAGUAUUCCACCUGGGGAGUACGGCCGCAAGGUUGAAACUCAAAUGAAUUGGCGGGG
rnacentral:rRNA from 1 species